UACACUCACUACUGUAAGUCACUCUGGAUAAGAGCGUCUGCUAAAUGACUCAAA
rfam:Salmo salar isolate Sally breed double haploid chromosome ssa01, whole genome shotgun sequence.